UACAGAGGUGCCGAGCGUUAGGCGGAAUCACUGGGCUUAAAGCGCGUGUAGGCGGGUCGUUAAGUGUCCGCGUGAAAUCCCACGGCUCAACCGUGGAACUGCCGGGCAUACUGGCGACCUUGAGGCACUUAGGGGCGAGCGGAACAAAUGGUGGAGCGGUGAAAUGCGUAGAUAUCAUUUGGAACGCCGACGGUGAAAAACAGCUCGCUGGGAGUGUCCUGACGCUGAGACGCGAAAGCCAGGGAGCGAACGGG
rnacentral:rRNA from 1 species